rnacentral:rRNA from 1 species
GGGUGAGUAAUGCCUAGGAAUCUGCCUGGUAGUGGGGGAUAACGUUCGGAAACGGACGCUAAUACCGCAUACGUCCUACGGGAGAAAGCAGGGGACCUUCGGGCCUUGCGCUAUCAGAUGAGCCUAGGUCGGAUUAGCUAGUUGGUGGGGUAAUGGCUCACCAAGGCUACGAUCCGUAACUGGUCUGAGAGGAUGAUCAGUCACACUGGAACUGAGACACGGUCCAGACUCCUACGGGAGGCAGCAGUGGGGAAUAUUGGACAAUGGGCGAAAGCCUGAUCCAGCCAUGCCGCGUGUGUGAAGAAGGUCUUCGGAUUGUAAAGCACUUUAAGUUGGGAGGAAGGGUUGUAGAUUAAUACUCUGCAAUUUUGACGUUACCGACAGAAUAAGCACCGGCUAACUCUGUGCCAGCAGCCGCGGUAAUACAGAGGGUGCAAGCGUUAAUCGGAAUUACUGGGCGUAAAGCGCGCGUAGGUGGUUUGUUAAGUUGGAUGUGAAAUCCCCGGGCUCAACCUGGGAACUGCAUUCAAAACUGACUGACUAGAGUAUGGUAGAGGGUGGUGGAAUUUCCUGUGUAGCGGUGAAAUGCGUAGAUAUAGGAAGGAACACCAGUGGCGAA